rnacentral:lncRNA from 1 species
UGCUGGAGAUUUGGGAGUGGCCCGCGGUGGCCGUUCCAAGCCCCAGGAGACUGGACUUCCCUAAGCACCCCGCCGUCUCAGCACCAGCGGAGAGUGGGGUGUAGACACAACUGAAAACGUGAAUGCAUGAUAUAGAACCGCCGCCUUUGCACUGCGCGGCGCACUGAGCAUGAACGGUGUUUGUAUAAUGUUGGCGAAGGAAUUUAACAGAAACAGAAAGCUGUGUACCGUUGUUUGGCCCCGUUUUCCCGCCUUUCCUUGCCUUCUCUUCCCCCACUCUCCCUACUGAUUCUGUUCCCAGUGGUUGGUAUUUGGUGACAGCUCUUGGUUCUGUGGCUGUUUAUGUCUCACUGAAAACACGGAGGGGUGGGCAGUGGUAAGGAAAGUACUUUUUUUCUAAUUUUGUAUAGCUAUCCACAAGCGUUUGUAUUUUUUGAAUUGCAAACACUGUUUUCUGGUCCUUGGGGGUUGGUUAAACUUCCUGUAUUACUUUUUGGAAAACUUGAGUUUUACCACAUUCUUAAACAGAUUUGAAAUAAAUUCUUUUGACACUGCCAACAACUGGAAGACGGGUGUGCUCUGUGGUCACUAGUGAGGGGUCACUUCCGAAUUCCCACAGACUGACCCUGGCUGAGUUCUGGUUAGCUCCUAAAUCAAUCUCAAAGUAAAGGUGUAGUUUCAAAUUACAAAGCACAACUUCUCCAGUGAAAUUAUAGCUCCAUUUAAAAAUGUGUGUGUGCAUGCAUGUGUGUGUGUGUGGUGUGUGUGUGUGAUGUGUGGUGUGUGUGUGUGAGUGUGUGGUGUGUGUGUGUGAGAGUGUGUGGUGUGUAUGAGUGUGUGUGUGUGGUGUGUGAGAGUGUGUAGUGUGUAUGAGUGUGUGUUGUGUGUGUGUGUGUGUGGUCUGUAUGAGUGUGUGUGUGUUGUGUGUGUUGUAUAUGUGUGUGUGUGUAUGUGUGUGUGUGGUGUAUGUGUGAGUGUGGUGUGUAUGUGUGUGUGGUGUGUAUGUGAGUGUGUGCGUGUGUGUGCAUGCACAUAUAUGUGGAGGUUGAAGGUUACCUCAAAUGCUCUUCCAUUGCUGUCCACUUUUCCUUUUUGAGAUAGGUUCUUUAAAAAAAAAUUUUUUUUUCCAAGACAGGGUUUUUCUGUGUAGCCCUGGGUGUUCUGGAACUCACUGUAGACCAGGCUGGCCUUGAGCUCACAGAGAUCCGUCUACUUCUGCCUCCCAAGAGCUGGGAUCAAAGGCACGCACACACUACCACCGCCCAAGACAGGUUCUUUUAUGGGCCUAGCACUUGCAAAUCCAGCUAGACUGGCUGACCAGCAAGCCCCAAGACUACCUGCCUGUCUCCACGCUUCUGGAAUCCUUAGUACAUACACCCUGUUCUCUAUGUAGGUCCUAUGGCUCACAGAAAAGUCCUCAUGCUUACGUGUGUGGGAAGCUCUACCAACUGAGCCAGCUCUAAUCACAGACUCAUUUUUGCAGAAGGCAAGCAGACUGGGGACAUGUAAGAGUCCAGAUAGGGUUAAGCCAGGUGCAGUGGCUCACACUUGUAAUCUCAGCACUUGGGAGGCCGACGCAGGAGCAAGCUCAAGACCAGCCUGUUCUAUAUGGUGACACCCAGCCUUGGAAACAAGAAGUAAAUCCAUGGAUUCCUGACCUGGACUCCAGGACAGCUUUGAGCAAGCAUCCCAAACUGAGCAUCAGGAAUAACAUAUGCCCCUUGGCAGUGUGGCCCAGAGCUUCACUUCUGUCCUUCCUUGAGCUAUGAUAUUUUAAAUUUUUACUUUUUUGAGACAGGGUCUCACUGUGUAGCCCUUGAUGAUCUGGAAUCCACUGUGUACACUAGACUGGCUUUGAGCUCAUGGCAAUCUGCCUGCCUUGGCCUCCUGAGUGCUGGGAUUAAAGGCCUGUACCACCUUUAAGUAGCUCUUCUCUGUCCAACUGUUCCUAAGACUAGUGAAUGGGGCUCAGUAGGUGGGAUGGAGUGGCUGUAGGUUGGGUUUUGAGGGAGACAAGCUCUCAAGGGAGGAAGGGUUGGAGUUUAUGUCCCAGGAGUGAUCUUGGAAGUAAGCAGGACCCAACAAGGGAGGUAUUAAGGCAAUAAAAGGCUGAGCAUAGUAUAGUGGCUUAUUCCUGUAAUUCUAACACUCAGGAGGCUGAGGAAGAGGUUCACUGUGAGUUUGAGGCCAGCCUGAGCUAUGUAGUGAAAUCCAUCUUUAGCUACAGAGUGAGAAACUCAGUGUCAAAAAUCCAAAGCAAAACAGAAAGGCGUAAGAGAGAGUCCUGUCCUUUCUCAUCCACUGCUAGCUCUCUGAAGACUGCUGGUCCCUGUGGUUCCCCCCUGCUCUCCAAGGUCUGGGCAGUCCGGCCCUGUCCUGACUCCCCGUGGCAUCCCAGCUGCCCGCUGACAUGUCGGUCUCUACGGUCCUCAUGUCCACCAGGAGGCUUCAGUGCUCAGCAUGAACCCCCAGUGUACAAAUUAAUAACUGAGUGAGUCUGUGAAGACCAGGCCAGAGCUGCCGCCCCGACACCUGCAGCUGAGCUCAGCGGAGAAGAGGAACGUAGCAAGCUUUAACGUUAGGAUUACUGAGCUUAUUUGGAAAAUGCUAGGUUAUGUGAGAGCAGGAAAACUGAAUGAGGGGCUGGAGACAUGGCUCAGUGGUUAAGAACACUGGCUGCUCUUCCAGAGGACCCAGGUUCAAGUCCCAGGCAAACAUGGCAACAGCUCUUUCCAAUUGCAGUUCCAGGGGAUCUGAUACCCUCACACAGACAUAAAUGUAGGCAAAACAGCAACAUGUUUUGUUUUUUUUUUAAUGAAAUGAUUUAUUAUGGAAUAAAAAUAAAUAGAUUUAAAGAAGAAAACAGACUGGGAAACAGUCUGAGCUGAGGCAGCAUAGCAAACCGGAACCAUUGGCUUCUGCUCUGUCAAUCUGCUCACUGCUCAUUUCCGGAAAGGGUCACAUGUAUUCUUUUCCCUUGAGAACUGGCCACCACCAAUGCCCUGGUAGAUAGUGAGUUCUGUCUGCUAACCAUCAAACUGUCUUAACUAGAAACUUGAGAAUUUUAGCUCCUGUAAAACCUGUUUAGCUCUAGGGAAGAUCUCUUUGGGGAGGGGAUAAAAAGACCACCCUAUGAUAAUCACAAUGCCCAACCCUACAUAAACCUUGAAUAUUUCUGAUUGAAGCUGGACCUGCUUAAGCAAUAGCUAGAGGCUACAGCUACAUGC